rnacentral:rRNA from 1 species
CCUACGGGUGGCAGCAGUAGGGAAUAUUGCUCAAUGGGGGAAACCCUGAUGCAGCAACGCCGCGUGGAGGAUGAAGGUCUUCGGAUUGUAAAGUCCUGUUAUUAGGGAAGAACAUGACGGUAUCUAACGAAUAAGCACCGGCUAACUACGUGCCAGCAGCCGCGGUAAUACGAAGGGGGCAAGCGUUACUCGGAAUCACUGUGCGGAAAGGGAGCGGAGGCGGGGUAGCCAGUCAGAUGUGAAAUCCGAUGGCUUAACCAUAGGACUGCAUUUGAAACUGUAAUACUAGAGUAUGUGAGAGGUAGGUGGAAUUCUUGGUGUAGGGGUAAAAUGCGUAGAGAUCAAGAGGAAUACUCAUUGCGAAGGCGACCUACUAGAACAUAACUGACGCUGAUGCGCGAAAGCGUGGGGAGCAAACAGGAUUAGAUACCCGAGUAGUC